CCACAUAUUAGCUUAGUUUUACAUAGUUUCUAUAAAUAUAGAAUAAAUUAUAUAUAUAAUUUUGUAUAUAAUGUAUAUAUAGUUGUAUGUGUGUGCAUGUGUAUAUAUAUUGCAUUUAUAUGUAUGUGCAUAUAUAUAUAUAUAUUUAGAUAGUUGCCCCAAGAUUCUCUUUGAGUUUGCCACUAUUGCCCUGGACAAGGACAACAGUAAAUUGUAAAGGUGUUGGUUGACCUGCUCUGUCAGAGGGGGCUUCCUCAGUGGGGAGUUUCCUAUGCCGAUGAGGCUGGAGUUUGCUCUUUAAUCUUAGCCACAGCAUUGCCGAUAUCAUGACAAGCCAGAAGUGCUGCCCUGGGCUAUGGGGAGCACGUUCUGAACACAAGCCUCACUCCUGGGAGUACUGGGGAGGGGCGAGAGUUAGCAGACUGUUAGGAGGGCAUUCCUGAGGACUGAGCUGGCUCCUUCUGGAAAAGGGCCAUGUGGUCCCCGAGACAAACCAUGAAGGCAGCAGCGACAAUGACAAACACUUGAUAAUGCUUUCUGUAGCACUUUAAAUGUAUGCAAAGUUCUGUAGGGCACCAGCACUUUUAGUAUUACUGUCGAGAAGUUAAAUGAUUUUGCUUAAUACUUUAUAUAGUAAGUGGGAAAGCUAGAAUUUGAUCCCAGAUUAUUUGAUUGUAAGACUAGUGCCUCUAUGUGCCCUGAACUACAGAGUAAAAUGACAUUCUCUACACAUACUCUGUGGAGAAAAUGUUGGUCAUGUAUUUCUCUUUUUAGCUACAUUAUCUAUAUGACAAAACAUACUACAGGCAGUUGAAUUUUCGGAUGCUAAGAAUUAUAAUGGGAGACAGCUAGGUGGCACAGUGGAUAGAGUGCCAGACCUAGAGUCAGGAAGAUCUGAGUUCGAAUCCAGACUCAAGACACUGUCUUACUCUGGGAAAAUAACUUAAUUUUGUUUGCCUCCAUUUCUUCAUCUCUAAAAUAAGCUGGAAAAAGAAAUGGUAAAAUGUUCCAGCAGCUGUGCCAAGAAAACCCCAAAUGGGGUCAUGAAGAGUAGGACAUGACUGAAAAAUGACUGAAGACAAGAGCAAUUAAUACUGGUUCAUCCUUCUGCCUCCUGCCUGUGUAGCUGUAUACACUAUCCUCCAUGCCUGGACUACCUCCAUAUUAAAUUCUGUUGAAAUCUUUAUCCCUCCUUCGAGGCCCAGUCCAAGCUAGCAUAGUGUCCAUAACAUGGUAGGGGAUUAAUAAAAUCUUAUUGAAUUAAUGGGUAAAUGAACGACAUCUCAUCCAUUAAUGCCCUUCCUCUUCUCCUUCAGCUGAAAACCCUUGAUCCAAUCUUCCUCAAAUCUCUCAUGCCAUUCCGUUUCAAUGUGUAAACAUACAUUUAUAUUCUAACUCAUAGUUAUCUGUGUACACAUCAAUUCCAGUCUCCCCUUCCUCUCUACCCCCUCUCCCAAUAGAAUGUAAAUUCCUUGAAAGCAGAGACUGUGACUGCGUUGAUUUUCAGCUUUGUAUCCACAGUACGUGGCACAUAAAUUUAUAAUUCUCUAUCGAGUAAGAGGACUGAUUUCCAAUAAUCGCACAUGAAAAUCAAUCUCAGUUCAGUGGUCCUGUGCAUGUAUCAUUACAUGAGUCCUGAAUAAUCAUGACUGAGCAACAGAGCCCAAACUUAAUAGUAGCCAGGGACAAAAGUCAGAUAUUCCAAGGAGAUGAAGUAUAGAUUUCAGCCUCAAAGUCACAGGGUUGAAGUUAAGCUCAGGGGAAGCACAUCAUGAAUUAACACAUGUAAAGUGUUUUACAAACCUUAAAGCUAUAGCUAUGUAAAUGCUAGCUAUUGUUGGCUAAAUAGGCUUCAGAAAAUGUUACUGUAGCAUACUUGACUCUCACAGGAGAGUUAUUGUAUCCUUAAGUGACCUUCUUACUUCUAGGAACUGGUUUAGACACCUGGAAAUAUACUAUUCAAGAAGACAUAAUGGAGAAAUCAAAACUGGUAGCCAUAUUUAAGUGUAAACAGGUGCCACAUUGCAAAGAAUUGAGCCCCAUCUCUCCCUAUUCAAGUGUAAAUACUAAAAACUGAACAUAAUCAGAAUAAAGCAGAAAGAAGGAUGUCAAGAUAAAAUCUGGAAUCUUGGUUAGUCUUGGUGGAAAUACUAAAGUUGCAAAGAAAACUUCUAAAGGCUUAAGAACUGAUCAGUUUACAGGAAGGAGACUUCUGGGUCAAGAGAUCAAGAUGAAGGACUAGACCUUUUUUCCAAAUUUCAGGUCCUUACAAACCUCUCCAAAAUAAGAAUUACAUUCAAGAAAUAUAAUUUAAAAAUCUCAAUUGUCUCCAUCAUCUAAGACAAAAAGAACCCUAUUGGGGCAAUAAUCCAGUUAAUUAAAUACAGGCCUAGAGAAGUCCAAUUUUUAAUGUGCUCAUUCAUCACUCUUUCCCCACUAGCCACCAUUCUCUUUCAGGUCUGUACUCACAAGUUAACUCACAGGCUUGCAAGAGAGCUUAACUUUGCCUACUCCUUUCUCUGUCCCCCCCCCCCCCUCCAAUGCUGAAGCUUGCUCUGACUGGGUCUGCAAUAAUUAUGGCAGCAUCCUGUGUUGCAACAAUACUCAGCUUGAGAAAUAAGGAACAGAGAGAACUAGGAUAGGACACCAGUGAGCAUGAAUCUCUGCCAGACUUGACACAAAGGAGACUGGCAUUCGAUUAGGACCAAUUCUGCCCUCCCAGAAGUCACCUGGAAAAAGACAUUGGUUUGUAAAAUGUGAUUUGCCCAGUGUGGGAGGGAGCUGAGGCAACUCUGAGGUCCAGCCGAUGGAGAAACUGCUAUCAAAGGGGAAGGAAUCAGAAAGUGAUCAAUUGGGGGAUUAUAAGGGAAAAAAAAAGACUGAAAUUACAAAAGAUCUCAGAAGGAAGAAAACUCAGUGAAAGAACUUAAGGAAAAGCAGAUAAAUCAAUGGAGGUGGAAGGGUGAGUACAAAUAUUUUUUGAUUAAAAAAAUUAAAUCAAAGGAAAAAACAAAAAGCAUAGAAUAAAAGAUGAAGGCAAGUAAAGGAUAGAAUUUCUGAGACUUAAAUCCUAUCUAUAGGUACAAAGAAAUUUUAUUCAUCUCAGAGUUCUCUUUAAUAAUGAAAUCAUAAGUCUAGUCCCUGUCCCUAUCCACUAUGUGCUGGGUACUAGAGAAAAAAGGCAAAACCAAAACCAAAAGAUAGCAAUAAAGACUUAAAAACCCAACAACGCGUGUACUUAUGAGAUAUAUACAUUAUAAAUGGAAGGUAGUCUUAGAAGGAAGGCACUAUCAAGGAAUGGGAAUGGGGAGGAAGUCAUGUGGGACCAGGAACGGUUUCUUGUAAAUGGUAAUAUUUGAUCUAAGUCUUGAAGAAAACCAAGGAAAGCAGGACAUUGAGAUGAAGAAAGAGAGAAGGUGUUCCAGGCAUUGGAUAGAGCCAAUGGAAAAAAACAGAGAAUUGGCAGAAUGAUUGUCAUAAUUGAGCAACUGCAAGCAGGCCAGUAGAGUUGAACUGGUGGAGACUUAGUGGAGGGACAUAAAGUAAAGGAGCCUGAAAAAGUAGAAGGGGACAAGUUAUGAGGGGCUUUAAAUGCUAAAUAGAAUUUUAUAUCUGAUCUGAUAGGCAGCCACUGAAGUCAACUUAGUAGGAGGAACUGUUACAUGGUAAGAGCUACAUUUUAGGUUAAAGCCCAGCUCAAGUCACAUAGGAAGUGGCAGAGUUAGGAUUCAAAGACCCUGAAGCAUUUGCUAGUAACUGAGUGGGGUGGGUUUUGCCCGCAGUCCCUUUUCGUUAGAACCCAGGGUAAAAUGGGAGAGGGCAUAGAUGACCCUUUAGAACAACAACAUCUCCAUGAUGAGUCUUUCCCACUUAUGUGGAUGACAGAUUUUUAGAAUGAAUAAAUGCUAUAUAGAAAACAUGCUUAAACCUGUAAGAAAGUUUUAGUAAAUGUGAAAGGCCUCCCCAAUGAUUAUCCUUUGUUGUUUUUCAGUUGUUUUAGUUGUGUUUGAUUCUUUAUAACCCCGUUUGGAGUUUUCUUGGCAAAAAUCCUAAAGUGAUUCUCCGUUUCUUUCUCCACUUUACAGAUGAGAAAACUGAGGCAAACAGGGUAAAGUGAUUUGCUUAGGAUCACACAAUUGUGUUAUUGUUGUUGAUUCAUUUCAGUCAUGUUCGUCUCUUCUUCAUCCCAUUUGGAGUUUUUUUCCUUCUCAAGUUCAUUUUAUGGAUGAGGAAACUGAUUAACAGGGUUAAGUGACUUGCCUAUGGUCACAUAGCUAUUAAGUGUCUGAAGUCAGAUUUGAACUCAAGAAGAUGUCUGACUCUAGGCUAAGCAUGCUAUCCACUGCACAACACAACCUAGCUGUCCUUAAUGAUUAUUGUUAUUUUGUACAAUUUCUUCAUAACUUUGUCUCUUCAUUUAUUCUUAUACCAUGACUAAAGGUUAUCUUUUCUAAAAAUCAAAAAUAUAAUUAAUCAGCAGUUUGGCAUAGAUGUAAAUUCUGGAUUACCAAACAAAAAUUUCACAAAUUCUAAGAAGAAGUAAUUAUUUCUUCUUGUUAUAUCGCAUUCAGGGUCCCAUAAUUUUUACCAUAGCAACCAAUUCUCCCUUGAUGAAAAUCAGACUUAGAAUAAAAAUUUCUCUACCUUGAAUCUUCUACUUUUUAAAGGAUGACAUUAUCAAGACAAGAUGAAAAAUUAUUAUCCAUUCUGCUUUUGCCAGAAAUUGAACUUUAUCAUCUGUAGAGAAUCUCUUUCAUCUGCAAAUCUUCUAUGAGCAUGGCAAAUACCUUUGCUGAAGAAACACACUCAGAUGUGUCCAUGUCUGCUCAUGUCAAAACCAGAACUUGAACCACAUACAUCCAAGUCCAGACAGUAUUAAAUUGGCUGAUUCUGGAAGCAAGUGCUGGAAGAAUGAAAUUAUCCAAGAAUAUCCAGCUAUAAGGUGAAGAUGCACUGAAGAUGGCUGCAAGCUUCAAAAAGCUAGACGACUAGGCCACCAGAUGUCUACAUCCUGGAGAUCAUAUCAGAGUUUGCUGGCAGUCAAGCAUAGUGAAGAGUGUAGCCCAAAGAGAAUCAACUGGACAUAGUUAUCUCUGCUUAUGGAAGGGUCCUAUGCCAAGUGAAGCUUGAAAUUAUUUGAAGACAUUUGGUUCACCCUCCUAAGAGUCCCCCUGGCACCCUGGACUCCAAAUGAAUUAAUGGAUAUGGAAAUAAAAUUGUUUUCUCAAUGAUGAUAAUAAAAAUGCACAACAGCAUA